rnacentral:rRNA from 1 species
GUAGUCAACAUGCCCAGGGGACGUGGAUAACCUCGGGAAACUGAGGAUAAACCGCGAUAGGCCAUGAUUUCUGGAAUGGUUCAUGGCCGAAAUCUAUAUGGCCCCUGGAUUGGACUGCGGCCGAUCAGGCUGUUGGUGAGGUAAUGGCCCACCAAACCUGUAACCGGUACGGGCUCUGAGAGGAGGAGCCCGGAGAUGGGCACUGAGACAAGGGCCCAGGCCCUAUGGGGCGCAGCAGGCGCGAAAUCUCUGCAAUAGGCGAAAGCUUGACAGGGUUAUUCUGAGUGAUUUCCGCUAAGGAAGUCUUUUGGCACCUCUAAAAAUGGUGCAGAAUAAGGGGUGGGCAAGCCUGGUGUCAGCCGCCGCGGUAAUACCAGCACCCCGAGUGGUCGGGACGAUUAUUGGGCCUAAAGCAUCCGUAGCCGGUUCUACAAGUCUUCCGUUAAAUCCAACUGCUUAACAGUUGGGCUGCGGAGGAUACUAUGGAGCUAGGAGGCGGGAGAGGCAAGCGGUACUUAGUGGGUAGGGGUAAAAUCCGUUGAUCCACUGAAGACCACCAGUGGCGAAGGCGGCUUGCCAGAACGCGCUCGACGGUGAGGGAUGAAAGCUGGGGGAGCAAACCGGAUUAGAUACCCGGGUAGUCCCAGCUGUAAACGAUGCAGACUCGGUGAUGAAUAGGCUUCGUGCCUAUUCAGUGCCGCAGGGAAGCCGUUAAGUCUGCCGCCUGGGGAGUACGGUCGCAAGACCGAAACUUAAAGGAAUUGGCGGGGGA